GACGGAGGGGGCUAGCGUUGUUCGGAAUGACUGGGCGUAAAGGGCGCGUAGGCGGCUUAUCAAGUCAGGUGUGAAAUCCUUGGGCUUAACCCAAGAACUGCACUUGAUACUGGUUUGCUAGAGGAAAUGAGAGGUAAGUGGAAUUCCUAGUGUAGAGGUGAAAUUCGUAGAUAUUAGGAGGAACACCAGAGGCGAAGGCGGCUUACUGGCAUUUACCUGACGCUGAGGCGCGAAAGCGUGGGGAGCAAACAGG
rnacentral:rRNA from 1 species